rnacentral:rRNA from 1 species
GACGAACGCUGGCGGCGUGCUUAACACAUGCAAGUCGAACGCUGAAGCUUGGUGCUUGCACUGGGUGGAUGAGUGGCGAACGGGUGAGUAAUACGUGAGUAACCUGCCCUUGACUCUGGGAUAAGCCUGGGAAACUGGGUCUAAUACUGGAUACGACAUGCCACUGCAUGGUGGUGUGUGGAAAGGGUUUUACUGGUUUUGGAUGGGCUCACGGCCUAUCAGCUUGUUGGUGGGGUAAUGGCCUACCAAGGCGACGACGGUUAGCCGGCCUGAGAGGGUGACCGGCCACACUGGGACUGAGACACGGCCCAGACUCCUACGGGAGGCAGCAGUGGGGAAUAUUGCACAAUGGGCGGAAGCCUGAUGCAGCGACGCCGCGUGAGGGAUGACGGCCUUCGGGUUGUAAACCUCUUUCAGCACGGAAGAAGCGAGAGUGACGGUACGUGAAGAAGAAGCGCCGGCUAACUACGUG